GACGGAGGGUGCAAGCGUUGUUCGGAAUCACUGGGCGUAAAGGGCGCGUAGGCGGCCUUGCAAGUCGGUUGGUGAAAGCCCGGGGCUCAACCCCGGAGGUGCGGCCGAGACUGCAGGGCUGGAGGCCGGAAGAGGAGGGUGGAAUACCCAGUGUAGAGGUGAAAUUCGUAGAUAUUGGGGGAACACCGGUGGCGAAAGCGGCUCUCUGGUCCGGACCUGACGCUGAGGCGCGAAAGCGUGGGUAGCAAACAGG
rnacentral:rRNA from 1 species